ACACAUGCAAGUCGAACGAAGCUUGACGGAUGAUUUCUUCGGAAUGAAACCAGAUAUGACUUAGUGGCGGACGGGUGAGUAACACGUGAGCAACCUGCCUUUCAGAGGGGGAUAACGGCUGGAAACGGUCGCUAAUACCGCAUGAUGUGUUCGGAUGGCAUCAUUUGAACAUCAAAGAUUUAUCGCUGAAAGAUGGGCUCGCGUCUGAUUAGAUAGUUGGUGGGGUAACGGCCUACCAAGUCUACGAUCAGUAGCCGGACUGAGAGGUUGAACGGCCACAUUGGGACUGAGAUACGGCCCAGACUCCUACGGGAGGCAGCAGUGGGGAAUAUUGCACAAUGGGGGAAACCCUGAUGCAGCAACGCCGCGUGAAGGAUGACGGUUUUCGGAUUGUAAACUUCUUUUCUUAGUGACGAAGACAGUGACGGUAGCUAAGGAAUAAGCAUCGGCUAACUACGUGCCAGCAGCCGCGGUAAUACGUAGGAUGCAAGCGUUAUCCGGAUUUACUGGGUGUAAAGGGAGCGCAGGCGGGACUGCAAGUUGGAUGUGAAAUACCGUGGCUUAACCACGGAACUGCAUCCAAAACUGUAGUUCUUGAGUGAAGUAGAGGCAAGCGGAAUUCCGAGUGUAGCGGUGAAAUGCGUAGAUAUUCGGAGGAACACCAGUGGCGAAGGCGGCUUGCUGGGCUUUAACUGACGCUGAGGCUCGAAAGUGUGGGGAGCAAACAGGAUUAGAUACCCUGGUAGUCCACACUGUAAACGAUGAUAGCUAGGUGUGGGGGGUCUGACCCCUUCCGUG
rnacentral:rRNA from 1 species